GAUGAACGCUGGCGGCGUGCCUAAUACAUGCAAGUCGAGCGAACAGAUGAGGAGCUUGCUCCUCUGACGUUAGCGGCGGACGGGUGAGUAACACGUGGAUAACCGACCUAUAAGACUGGGAUAACUUCGGGAAACCGGAGCUAAUACCGGAUAAUAUAUUGAACCGCAUGGUUCAAUAGUGAAAGACGGUUUUGCUGUCACUUAUAGAUGGAUCCGCGCCGCAUUAGCUAGUUGGUAAGGUAACGGCUUACCAAGGCAACGAUGCGUAGCCGACCUGAGAGGGUGAUCGGCCACACUGGAACUGAGACACGGUCCAGACUCCUACGGGAGGCAGCAGUAGGGAAUCUUCCGCAAUGGGCGAAAGCCUGACGGAGCCACGCCGCGUGAGUGAUGAAGGUCUUCGGAUCGUAAAACUCUGUUAUUAGGGAAGAACAAAUGUGUAAGUAACUAUGCACGUCUUGACGGUACCUAAUCAGAAAGCCACGGCUAACUACGUG
rnacentral:rRNA from 1 species